rfam:Oryza sativa Japonica Group DNA, chromosome 4, cultivar: Nipponbare, complete sequence.
AAAAAGGCAAACCCUUGGUUUGCGUCUCUAACUUUGACUGUCCGUCUUAUAUGAAAUUUUUUUAUAAUUCGUAUUUUCAUUGUUGUUAGAUAAUAAAACAUGAUUAAUAUUUUAUAUGUGACUUGUCUUUUUAAUUUUUUUCAUAUUUUUUUUAAAUAAGACGGACAGUCAAACGUUAGACACGGAAACUAGGGUUUGUCUUUUU